AGCUUUCUGAAUCCGUGCAGAGAUUUUGUCACACACCAAACCAAUAGGGCUAAUCAGACUUCCAAGAUACUAUGUUGUU
rnacentral:pre_miRNA from 1 species